GACGAAGGAUGCAAGCGUUGUCCGGAUUCAUUGGGUUUAAAGGGUGCGUAGGCGGCCUUGUAAGUCAGUGGUGAAAUCUCUCAGCUUAACUGAGAAACUGCCAUUGAUACUGCAGGUCUAGAGUAUAGAUGACGUUGGCGGAAUAUGACAUGUAGUGGUGAAAUACUUAGAUAUGUCAUAGAACACCGAUUGCGAAGGCAGCUAACGAAACUAUAACUGACGCUGAGGCACGAAAGUGCGGGGAGCAAACAGG
rnacentral:rRNA from 1 species